rnacentral:rRNA from 1 species
UACGUAGGGGGCAAGCGUUGUCCGGAUUUAUUGGGCGUAAAGAGCGUGUAGGCGGCCUGGUAGGUCAGCUGUGAAAACUCGAGGCUCAACCUCGAGACGUCGAUGGAAACCAUCUGGCUAGAGUCCGGAAGAGGAGAGUGGAAUUCCUGGUGUAGCGGUGAAAUGCGCAGAUAUCAGGAAGAACACCCGUGGCGAAGGCGGCUCUCUGGUACGUGACUGACGCUGAGACGCGAAAGCGUGGGGAGCAAACAGG